rnacentral:rRNA from 1 species
GACGAACGCUGGCGGCGUGCUUAACACAUGCAAGUCGAACGAAGAGCGAUGGAAGCUUGCUUCUAUCAAUCUUAGUGGCGAACGGGUGAGUAACGCGUAAUCAACCUGCCCUUCAGAGGGGGACAACAGUUGGAAACGACUGCUAAUACCGCAUACGAUCUAAUCUCGGCAUCGAGGAUAGAUGAAAGGUGGCCUCUACAUGUAAGCUAUCACUGAAGGAGGGGAUUGCGUCUGAUUAGCUAGUUGGAGGGGUAACGGCCCACCCAGGCGAUGAUCAGUAGCCGGUCUGAGAGGAUGAACGGCCACAUUGGGACUGCGACACGGCCCAGACUCCUACGGGAGGCAGCAGUGGGGAAUCUUCCGCAAUGGACGAAAGUCUGACGGAGCAACGCCGCGUGAGUGAUGACGGCCUUCGGGUUGUAAAGCUCUGUUAAUCGGGACGAAAGGCCUUCUUGCGAAUAGUGAGAAGGAUUGACGGUACCGGAAUAGAAAGCCACGGCUAACUACGUG